rnacentral:rRNA from 1 species
UACGUAGGUGACAAGCGUUGUCCGGAUUUACUGGGCGUAAAGAGCGCGCAGGCGGUCGUUCAAGUCGAGUGUGAAAGCCCCCCGGCUCAACUGGGGGAGGGUCACUCGAUACUGAUCGACUCGAAGGCAGGAGAGGGGAAGUGGAAUUCCCGGUGUAGUGGUGAAAUGCGUAGAUAUCGGGAGGAACACCAGUGGCGAAGGCGACUACCUGGCCUGUUCUUGACGCUGAGGCGCGAAAGCUAGGGGAGCAAACGGGG